AGCUACUGCAGCGAUUAUACACAAGAUAGCGCCGACAAAAAGAUAUUUGUACAAGACAGAGUAAACGUGCCACUUAUGAAUAUGGAAGAGUUUGCGACUGCAUUCCAGUGCGCAUCUAAAAAGCCGAUGAACCCUUCAGAACGAUGCUUUUUCUGGACAUGAGAAGUCACCGGUGCACUCACUUUUCACGCCACUAUGUCUGAGGCGUGAUGUAACACUUUCUUACGAAAUUCAGCGUUCUUAUUACAAAAACACAAAUAUACGUUAUCUUAGCGAUACUCUUGUUGCUGGUUAAUAAACGUUCUGCAAAA